AUUGAACGCUGGCGGCAGGCCUAACACAUGCAAGUCGAGCGAGCGGCGGACGGGUGAGUAAUGUCGGGGAAAAUGCCUGAUGGAGGGGGAUAACUACUGGAAACGGUAGCUAAUACAGCAUACCAUCAGAUGUGCCCAGAUGGGAUUAGAUAGGAGGUGGGUUAACGGCUCACCGAGGAGACGAUCCCUAGCUGGUCUGGGAGGAUGACCAGCCACACUGUAACUUGUCUACUUUCCAGGUCCCUACGGGAGGCAGCAGUGUGGACUAUUGCACGAAGGGCGCAAUGCGUAUACCGCCAUGCCGCGUGUGUGAAGAAGGCCUUCGGCUUGUAAAGCACUUUCAGCUGGGAGGCGUUGCCCGCAGAAGCAGCACCGGCUAACUCCGUGCCAGCAGCCGCGGUAAUAC
rnacentral:rRNA from 1 species